CACAUGUUACAGGGAAGCACUGUCCUACAUCAUAUGUGACAGGCUCUCAUAGUCACCAUCAUCACGGGAAUCUUGCACAUGUUACAGGGAAGCACUGUCCUACAUCGUAUGUGACAGGCUCUCAUAAUCACCAUCAUCAUGUGAUCUUGUGCAUGUUACAGGGAAGCACUGUUCUACAUCGUAGGUGACAGGGUCUCAUAGUCACUAUCAUCACGGGAAUAUUGUGCAUGUUACAGGGAAGCACUGUCCUACAUCGUAUCUGACAGGCUCUCAUAGUCACCGUCAUCACGGGAAUCUUGUGCAUGUUACAGGGAAGCACUGUCCUACAUCGUAUCUGACAGGCUCUCAUAGUCACCAUCAUCA
rnacentral:lncRNA from 1 species